AUUGAACGCUGGCGGCAGGCCUAACACAUGCAAGUCGAGCGGAUGAAGGGAGCUUGCUCCUGGAUUCAGCGGCGGACGGGUGAGUAAUGCCUAGGAAUCUGCCUGGUAGUGGGGGAUAACGUCCGGAAACGGGCGCUAAUACCGCAUACGUCCUGAGGGAGAAAGUGGGGGAUCUUCGGACCUCACGCUAUCAGAUGAGCCUAGGUCGGAUUAGCUAGUUGGUGGGGUAAAGGCCUACCAAGGCGACGAUCCGUAACUGGUCUGAGAGGAUGAUCAGUCACACUGGAACUGAGACACGGUCCAGACUCCUACGGGAGGCAGCAGUGGGGAAUAUUGGACAAUGGGCGAAAGCCUGAUCCAGCCAUGCCGCGUGUGUGAAGAAGGUCUUCGGAUUGUAAAGCACUUUAAGUUGGGAGGAAGGGAAGUAAGUUAAUACCUUGCUGUUUUGACGGUACCAACAGAAUAAGCACCGGCUAACUUCGUG
rnacentral:rRNA from 1 species